rnacentral:rRNA from 1 species
CACGUAGGAGGCGAGCGUUGUCCGGAAUCAUUGGGCGUAAAGAGCGCGCAGGCGGCUUGGCAAGUCGGGUGUGAAAUCCCGGGGCUCAACCCCGUGACUGCAUUCGAUACUGUCAGGCUAGAGGUAGGUAGGGGAGAUCGGAAUUCCUGGUGUAGCGGUGAAAUGCGCAGAUAUCUGGAGGAACACCGGUGGCGAAGGCGGCGUUCUGGACUGCAACUGACACUGAGGAACGAAAGCCAGGGGAGCAAACGGG